rnacentral:miRNA from 1 species
GGGAGAGGGAGAAAAAAAAAAACCAAGCAGACAGUGCAGAAGAUGGCACACUUUAUACAUACACACACACAAAUAUGUAUAUGCAAACGAAUGUAUGUAUAUGUGUUCAUGUGUUUAUGCAUUUGCAUAUAUAUAUAUAUAUAUGUGUGUGUGUGUGUAUGUAUAAAGUGUACCAUCUUCUGCACUGUCUGCUUGGUUUUUUUUUCUCACUCUGCUCU